GAGGCGGUAGCUCAGGGGUAGAGCGGAUGAUUGCAGCAGCAGCAGCUUCCACAGCAUUCCUCAUCAGGUCAGGCGUUCGACUCGCCUUCGCCUCU
rnacentral:tRNA from 1 species